AUGGCCACCACCGUCCAGCCCCACUCCCCGGACCCAACAGCCAUCACCACCACCCCUGCCCCACCCCCUCCCCCUUCUCCACCUCGCCAGGAGAACCCGACCGCCGCGGGGGAAGGCGUAGAGAUCGCGGCGCUCGAUGAGCAGCCUGCCGCCGUCGCCGUCGCCGACAAGGGGAAGACGGCCCCCGGCGGCGGGAAGCUGGUGGCGGAGGCCAUGCGCAAGUGCGCGGCGCCCCGGUCGUCGCGCUACCACGGCGUGACGAGGCUCAAGUGGAGCGGCAAGUACGAGGCACACCUCUGGGACAACACCAGCCAGGUUGAGGGGCGCAAGCGCAAGGGCAAGCAUGUGUACUUGGGUAACUUAUACUGUCUGCCAUCAUAG
rnacentral:rRNA from 1 species